rnacentral:ncRNA from 15 species
GCCCUUCGGGCCCCAUGGUGGACUUCCGGGGCCAUGUACGGCGGCAAGAGAGGAAGCCGGUGCGAAUCCGGCGCGGUCCCGCCACUGUGACCGGGGUAGUAACCCCCGGGAGCCAGGAACUCUCACCGCCGGUCUCGUCGAAC